GGAACAUCCAGCAGAAGAGUCUCUGCUGCUUCACUCAGGCAGAUGUUGGACAAGAGGGCAGCACGCGAUGCAUAAACAAAGAUGCCGGAGGAGACGAUGAAGGACUCUUAGGGGCUAAAGGACGCGGUCUCUGUUUUUGAUAGUAAAGCUCACUUAUAUUCGCUAAGUCUUUAUUCCUUGAAGCAUCUCUUAUCUUUGUACCCAAACAUGGGCUGCUCCUCAUCCAGCGCACAGACCGUAGAACAGGAGAAAAGACCAGGCACAAAGCCAGAAGAGAGCAAUGGAGACACACAGGCGGUCAGAAAUGGCCUCCUUGCUGAAGAGGCCCAAACCAUCGAGGACCAGCUGCAGUUGCCCGUUCAGACUGCCUUACCAGAAGAUCUCCAACCAGUGACUGAUAAUGAAACGCAGGAUGUAUUAUUAGCCACGGAGGCCCAGGAGGAUCUCUGUUUCCAUGAAGACAAAGAUCCUUGGAUGGAAGAUGUUGCCCCUGUUGAUCCAGCUGAAAUCUGUGCUGAACUUGAGGCUUCUGAAGAGGCUGUGGAGACCCUCCCCCAGGAAGAUGCUGGUCCCAUAGAGACCCCACUAGAGGACGCUUCCAUCGACCAACCCUUGAAUGAGGCCACACAGAAGGAACCGGAGUUUGUAGCUAUGCUGACAGAGACUGUGGCUUUGGUGGAGGAAGUUUCUGCCGAGACAGCUCCAGAAGUUACCAUUGGUUCUGCUGAAACCACCGGUUCUGAACCAUUGGAGGCUUUAAUGGUUGAGGAAGAGGCAGCAGUGUUAACAUCUGACCAAGCUGCCAGACCAGGAACAACUAAGUCCACAGAGCCAGUCCUGAGCGGGCCCACGGAACCAGGAACAACUGUGCCCACUGAGCCAGGGUCAAGUGAGACCACAGACCUUGCAACUGCUGAGCCCACAGAACCAGUACCUGAUGAGGAAGCUGAACAAGCACCGACUGCGCCCACAGAGCCAGCACCCAGCGAGCCCACAGACCUUGAAACUGCUGAGCCCACAGAACCAGUACCAGGUGAUAAUCCAGAACAAGCACCAAUUAUACAGACAGAAUCUGGACCAAGUGAUGAAGCAGGACUACCAGUAAGUGAAACCACAGAAACGGCAUCCAGUGAGUCUGCAGGACCAGUACCAAAUGAGGCUGUUGGACCAGAAUCAAGUGACAAGACCGACCCAGCUCCAAGCGAGGACAGAGGACCAACAAUUGAGUCAAUGGAACCGUCUCCGAAUCGUGAUACAGAACAAGCAUCAAUUGACUGCAAAGGACCAGAACCUAGUGAGGAAGCAGCACUACCAUUAGGUGAGCCCAUAGAACCAGUAUCAAGUAAAUCUGCAGGACCAGUACCAUGUGACAACACAGAACCAACCCCAAGUGAGGACAGAGGUCCAACAACAACUGAGACAGCAGAAUCUGCACCAACUCGUGAGGCACAGCAAGCAACAAUAGAGACCGAAGGACCCGAACCAAGUGAAGAUGUAAACCCACCAUUAAGUGAGAUCAUAGAACCAGUAUUGUCAAAUGAGGCCUCGAGACCAGAACCAUGUGAUGAUAUAGAACCAUCUUCAACAGAGGAUGCAGGGCAAAUAACAACUGAGGAAACAGAACCCGAACUGAAUGAGCCUGCAGAACAAACGCCACUGGAGACUUCAGGACCUUCACCAAAUGAAGGUACAGAAUCAGUGAUACACAAGAUUGCAGAACCAGUAGAACCAGUAGAACCAGUCCCACCAAGUGAAACUACAACUGGAAAUGAGGUUCUGGGUGUCACUCCAGUCCCAGCUGAAGCUGCAGAACCUUUAACAGAGGAAGCGGCUGUAGAAUCGGUAUCGGGUGAGGUUGUAGCUGCAUGUGAAGAUGCAGCGGCGACUCUGGAUCUGCCACCAGAUGUGGCUGUGGCACCAGAUGUGGCUGUGGCACCAGAUGUGGCUGUGGCACCGGAUGUGGCUGUGGCACCGGAUGUGGCUGUGGCACCGGAUGUGGCUGUGGCACCGGAUGUGGCUGUGGCACCAGAUGUGGCUGUGGCACCGGAUGCACAAGCAGCAACAACAACGAUGCAAGCGAUGCCCGUCGAAUGUCUGGACCUGGUAAUAGAUCCAGAGAUCGCUUUAGCAACCAUUCCACAGCUGCCUCCAUCACCUCCCCCCACCGGUACGACCCAAGGCCACCAUCCGCUCGCUGAGGAGGAGGGAACAGCAGUGGAGGCAUCCAGCCCAACAGAACCCGCCCGUGCUCCAGCCCCCAAGGACAGACUUCCCGUCGCCACACUGGAUCAGGAGGAAGAGUUUCCAGCAUCUAGACCUGAAGAAGCAGAGACGGUAGUCAGCACGCCCAUGGCAGAGGCUCCCAUGGACGAGUCCACCUCUUCAGAACCUGCAGCGGGAUCUGCACUGGAGCUAAGUGACAAAGCCAAAAUGGAUUAAGAAG
rnacentral:lncRNA from 1 species